GACGAACUGUCCUAACGUUGUUCGGAAUCACUGGGCUUAAAGGGCGCGUAGGCGGUCCGACAAGUCAGGGGUGAAAUCCUGCAGCUUAACUGCAGAAGUGCCUUUGAUACUGUCGGUCUUGAGGGAGAUAGGGGUGUGCGGAACUCACAGUGGAGCGGUGAAAUGCGUUGAUAUUGUGAGGAACGCCGGAGGCGAAAGCGGCGCCCUGGAUCUCUUCUGACGCUGAGGCGCGAAAGCUAGGGGAGCAAACGGG
rnacentral:rRNA from 1 species